UAUAGUGCAGAUGAUCUCACUUAAUGCAGGAAAUGACAUUGUCGCGCAAAAACCUCAUUCAGUCGUGGUCAUGUUACCUGGUAUUUUGAACCAAGCUUCCGAGCAGUGUUUUUAAACAUCUGUGCUUCACAAGCUCGACUCAGUGCCGAAACAUUUGUUUUGAGCUUCCCAUCCCCAGUAAACAGGUGUGUUUACAGGUUGUAGCUGCAGAAGCCUCCUAUUGGCCAGUUUGCUUGCAAAUUGACUCCGUUUGAUCGUGGUUGGAGUGGUUUCCAUACCUAAUCGAAUCAGUUUGGAUCACUUUGCUUCACCUGAACACCCUGACAGUAUUUACACACUGCUGUCUGACUGCAUUCAGCUGACACUGAGAUGAAGCAGAAAAGAAGCAGCUGGUGAAGGUAGAAAGUGUGUGUGAGCUGAUGUGGA